UGAGGAAUAUUGGUCAAUGGGCGAGAGCCUGAACCAGCCAAGUAGCGUGCAGGACGACGGCCCUAUGGGUUGUAAACUGCUUUUAUACGGGAAUAAAGUGAUGCCUGCGGGCGUUAUUGCAUGUACCGUACGAAUAAGGACCGGCUAAUUCCGUGCCAGCAGCCGCGGUAAUACGGAAGGUCCGGGCGUUAUCCGGAUUUAUUGGGUUUAAAGGGAGCGUAGGCCGGAGAUUAAGCGUGUUGUGAAAUGUAGUGGCUCAACCUCUGCACUGCAGCGCGAACUGGUCUUCUUGAGUACGCG
rnacentral:rRNA from 1 species